AAAUUGAAGAGUUUGAUCAUGGCUCAGAUUGAACGCUGGCGGCAGGCCUAACACAUGCAAGUCGAGCGGUAGCACAGAGAGCUUGCUCUCGGGUGACGAGCGGCGGACGGGUGAGUAAUGUCUGGGAAACUGCCUGAUGGAGGGGGAUAACUACUGGAAACGGUAGCUAAUACCGCAUAAUGUCGCAAGACCAAAGUGGGGGACCUUCGGGCCUCAUGCCAUCAGAUGUGCCCAGAUGGGAUUAGCUAGUAGGUGGGGUAACGGCUCACCUAGGCGACGAUCCCUAGCUGGUCUGAGAGGAUGACCAGCCACACUGGAACUGAGACACGGUCCAGACUCCUACGGGAGGCAGCAGUGGGGAAUAUUGCACAAUGGGCGCAAGCCUGAUGCAGCCAUGCCGCGUGUGUGAAGAAGGCCUUCGGGUUGUAAAGCACUUUCAGCGGGGAGGAAGGCGGUAAGGUUAAUAACCUCAUCGAUUGACGUUACCCGCAGAAGAAGCACCGGCUAACUCCGUGCCAGCAGCCGCGGUAAUACGGAGGGUGCAAGCGUUAAUCGGAAUUACUGGGCGUAAAGCGCACGCAGGCGGUCUGUCAAGUCGGAUGUGAAAUCCCCGGGCUCAACCUGGGAACUGCAUUCGAAACUGGCAGGCUAGAGUCUUGUAGAGGGGGGUAGAAUUCCAGGUGUAGCGGUGAAAUGCGUAGAGAUCUGGAGGAAUACCGGUGGCGAAGGCGGCCCCCUGGACAAAGACUGACGCUCAGGUGCGAAAGCGUGGGGAGCAAACAGGAUUAGAUACCCUGGUAGUCCACGCCGUAAACGAUGUCGAUUUGGAGGUUGUGCCCUUGAGGCGUGGCUUCCGGAGCUAACGCGUUAAAUCGACCGCCUGGGGAGUACGGCCGCAAGGUUAAAACUCAAAUGAAUUGACGGGGGCCCGCACAAGCGGUGGAGCAUGUGGUUUAAUUCGAUGCAACGCGAAGAACCUUACCUGGUCUUGACAUCCACAGAACUUUCCAGAGAUGGAUUGGUGCCUUCGGGAACUGUGAGACAGGUGCUGCAUGGCUGUCGUCAGCUCGUGUUGUGAAAUGUUGGGUUAAGUCCCGCAACGAGCGCAACCCUUAUCCUUUGUUGCCAGCGGUCCGGCCGGGAACUCAAAGGAGACUGCCAGUGAUAAACUGGAGGAAGGUGGGGAUGACGUCAAGUCAUCAUGGCCCUUACGACCAGGGCUACACACGUGCUACAAUGGCAUAUACAAAGAGAAGCGACCUCGCGAGAGCAAGCGGACCUCAUAAAGUAUGUCGUAGUCCGGAUUGGAGUCUGCAACUCGACUCCAUGAAGUCGGAAUCGCUAGUAAUCGUAGAUCAGAAUGCUACGGUGAAUACGUUCCCGGGCCUUGUACACACCGCCCGUCACACCAUGGGAGUGGGUUGCAAAAGAAGUAGGUAGCUUAACCUUCGGGAGGGCGCUUACCACUUUGUGAUUCAUGACUGGGGUGAAGUCGUAACAAGGUAACCGUAGGGGAACCUGCGGUUGGAUCACCUCCUUACCUUAAAGAA
rnacentral:rRNA from 1 species